rnacentral:rRNA from 1 species
UUGAACGCUGGCGGCAUGCUUUACACAUGCAAGUCGAACGGUAACAGGUUAAGCUGACGAGUGGCGAACGGGUGAGUAAUGCAUCGGAACGUGCCCGAUCGUGGGGGAUAACGCAGCGAAAGCUGCGCUAAUACCGCAUACGAUCUGAGGAUGAAAGCGGGGGACCGUAAGGCCUCGCGCGAUCGGAGCGGCCGAUGUCAGAUUAGCUAGUUGGUGAGGUAAAAGCUCACCAAGGCGACGAUCUGUAGCGGGUCUGAGAGGAUGAUCCGCCACACUGGAACUGAGACACGGUCCAGACUCCUACGGGAGGCAGCAGUGGGGAAUUUUGGACAAUGGGGGCAACCCUGAUCCAGCCAUGCCGCGUGAGUGAAGAAGGCCUUCGGGUUGUAAAGCUCUUUCAGCCGGGAAGAAAAUGCAUGGGUUAAUACCCUGUGCAGAUGACGGUACCGGAAUAAGAAGCACCGGCUAACUACGU